GGGGUUUUAGUAUAACGGUAAUACAUGUGACUUUUAAUCGCUAAGAAAAGAGUUCGAAUCUCUUAAACCCUA